AUGAGUUCUUCGUCAUCUUCAUCUGGCGACGAUGAACUCAUACUUGCAGCAUUCGCCGAGCGGGAGGAGGAAGAGAGGAAGAACGGUCGACGCCAUGGCGGUUCCAAGCAUGGACGUCAGUCAAUCGAUCGAGGAAGAGAUGCCGGAUUUCUUCUUCUGUGGGACGACUACUUCAAAGAAGUUCCUCGCUUUCCCGAACAUUUGUUUCGACGAAGAUUUAGGAUGUCGCUUACUUUGUUCAACCGCAUAGCUGAUGGUAUACUUGAGCAUGACUAUGAUGAUUAUUUUACGCAAAAAAGAAGUGCUUCUGGAGCUCUUGGGUUACAUCCUUUACAAAAGAUGACCGCGGCGAUGAUGAUUCCCUGUCUGUGUUGUAGUACUCUGAAAUUCUAUCCCAAUAAGCAUCCCGGUUUUGAUCUGUCCCAACAAUAUCCAAACUUGUAUUUGCCCAUGCUGCUAUGA
rnacentral:rRNA from 1 species